rnacentral:rRNA from 2 species
UGCAGUCGAACGAUGAAGCCCAGCUUGCUGGGUGGAUUAGUGGCGAACGGGUGAGUAACACGUGAGUAACCUGCCCUUGACUCUGGGAUAAGCACUGGAAACGGUGUCUAAUACCGGAUAUUUCAGCUGGCCGCAUGGUCUGGUUGUGGAAAGAAUUUUGGUCAAGGAUGGACUCGCGGCCUAUCAGGUUGUUGGUGAGGUAAUGGCUCACCAAGCCUACGACGGGUAGCCGGCCUGAGAGGGUGACCGGCCACACUGGGACUGAGACACGGCCCAGACUCCUACGGGAGGCAGCAGUGGGGAAUAUUGCACAAUGGGCGAAAGCCUGAUGCAGCAACGCCGCGUGAGGGACGACGGCCUUCGGGUUGUAAACCUCUUUUAGUAGGGAAGAAGCGAAAGUGACGGUACCUGCAGAAAAAGCACCGGCUAACUACGUGCCAGCAGCCGCGGUAAUACGUAGGGUGCAAGCGUUGUCCGGAAUUAUUGGGCGUAAAGAGCUCGUAGGCGGUUUGUCGCGUCUGCUGUGAAAACUGGAGGCUCAACCUCCAGCCUGCAGUGGGUACGGGCAGACUAGAGUGCGGUAGGGGAGAUUGGAAUUCCUGGUGUAGCGGUGGAAUGCGCAGAUAUCAGGAGGAACACCGAUGGCGAAGGCAGAUCUCUGGGCCGUAACUGACGCUGAGGAGCGAAAGCAUGGGGAGCGAACAGGAUUAGAUACCCUGGUAGUCCAUGCCGUAAACGUUGGGAACUAGAUGUGGGGGCCAUUCCACGGUCUCCGUGUCGCAGCUAACGCAUUAAGUUCCCCGCCUGGGGAGUACGGCCGCAAGGCUAAAACUCAAAGGAAUUGACGGGG